GGAGAAUUUAAUAACGGGGGGGGGGUUGGUUUUUAUGGCAAUAGAUUUAUUCCACCUGGGCUAAGAAAUACAUUCCACAUCUGCCGAGCCGUGUAACCAGACUCUAAUUAAAAUCGUAUGCCAAUGAGGGCCCGGCUGUAAAACACAAAGCUGGCUUUUAGGGCGGCUGGGAACUGCGGCUCGCGCCGAGCUCCGGGCUGGGGGCCAGGCGGCCGUGGGGAGGAGAGGGACGGGGCGGUGGCAGCGGGACUGAGAUGGUGGCAGUGGUCCCAUGGCCACUUGGGUCCCCCUGGCUGGGCAAGGGGGUGCGUGUGCCCACGGGGUGUCGGUGCUGGUGAGAGGUGGAGGAUGAUGUGUGGUGGUAUUGGGGUGUGGUGUGCACAGGGACAAGGGGCACCCAUGUCUGUGUAGUGUGCACGGGGACAAGGGGACACCCAUGUCUAUGUAGUGUGCAUGGGGGCAAGGGGACACCUGUGUCAAUACAGAGACAAGACGAUGGAUGGGGCUUUGAGAAAGCUGGUCUAGAGGGAGGUGUCCCUGCCUAUAGCAGGGGGAUUGGAACUAGAUGAUCAUCCCAUCCAACCCAAACCAUUGUAUGGUUCUAUGUCCAGGUGAGUGCUGGGACCCUGGGGAAAAUGUAACGUCUGUGUAUCUGUAGAGACCAUGAGGACAAAGUGAAUGUAAUGGCCGUGGGGACAGGAUGAUGUCCGUAGAUGUGCAGGGACCAUGGGGACAGUGUGAUGUCCUUGUGAGUGCAGGGAUCCUGGGGACAAAUUGGUGUCCAUAUGUCUGUAUCCAUGAGGACAAGGGGACACUCAUGUCUAUGUGAUGACCACAGGGACAAAGUGAUGUCCAUGUGAGUGCAGGGACCCUGGGGACAGAGUGAUAUCUGUGUGUAUGUGGUGACCAUGGGAAUACAGUGACAUCUGUGUGUAUGGGGCCAAGGUGACACUCAUAUAUGUUGUCACCACAGGGACAAGGUGCACAUGCUGGGGAUGGGGUGUGCAUAGUGAGUGGCACCAUUUUGUACGGGGUAACCAUGGGAUGGGGUGGUGACCUCGUGUGUGUAGUGACCACAGGGACAGGAUGAUGCCCAUGUAGUGACAAUGGGGACAGGGUGACAUCAGUGCGUCAUGGUGACAUGGUAGGAUGGGGUGACACCCAUACAUUAGUGACAUGGGGACAGGGUGACAUCUAUGAACGUGACAGUAGGAUGGAGUGACAUCCAUGCAUUGGGGACAGGGUGACAUCCACCAAUAGUAAUGACUGCAGGAUGGGGUGACAUCCAUGCAUCAUAGUGACUGUAGGAUGGAGUGACCCCAUGUUGGGGACAGGGUGACAUCCAUGCAUUGUAGUGACCGUAGGAUGGGGUGACAUCCAUAUAUCAGUGACAUGGGGACAAAGUGACACCCAUGCAUUGUAGUGACUGUAGGAUGGGAUGACACCUUUCCAUCAGUGACAUGGGGACAAAGUGACACCCAUGCAUCGUAGUGACUGUAGGAUGGGAU
ensembl:lncRNA